rnacentral:rRNA from 2 species
UGCGGAUCUUCAUUAGCUUGCUUUUGAAGAUCAGCGGCGGACGGGUGAGUAACACGUGGGCAACCUGCCUGUAAGACUGGGAUAACUUCGGGAAACCGGAGCUAAUACCGGAUAAUCCUUUCCCUCACAUGAGGGAAAGCUGAAAGACGGUUUCGGCUGUCACUUACAGAUGGGCCCGCGGCGCAUUAGCUAGUUGGUGAGGUAACGGCUCACCAAGGCAACGAUGCGUAGCCGACCUGAGAGGGUGAUCGGCCACACUGGGACUGAGACACGGCCCAGACUCCUACGGGAGGCAGCAGUAGGGAAUCUUCCGCAAUGGACGAAAGUCUGACGGAGCAACGCCGCGUGAACGAUGAAGGCUUUCGGGUCGUAAAGUUCUGUUGUCAGGGAAGAACAAGUACCGGAGUAACUGCCGGUACCUUGACGGUACCUGACCAGAAAGCCACGGCUAACUACGUGCCAGCAGCCGCGGUAAUACGUAGGUGGCAAGCGUUGUCCGGGAAUUAUUGGGCGUAAAGCGCGCGCAGGCGGU